UGGGGAAUAUUGCACAAUGGGCGCAAGCUUGAUGCAGCCAUGCCGCGUGUAUGAAGAAGGCCUUCGGGUUGUAAAGUACUUUCAGCGGGGAGGAAGGGAGUAAAGUUAAUACCUUUGCUCAUUGACGUUACCCGCAGAAGAAGCACCGGCUAACUCCGUGCCAGCAGCCGCGGUAAUACGGAGGGUGCAAGCGUUAAUCGGAAUUACUGGGCGUAAAGCGCACGCAGGCGGUUUGUUAAGUCAGAUGUGAAAUCCUCGGGCUCAACCUGGGAACUGAAUCUGAUACUGGCAAGCUUGAGUCUCGUAGAGGGGGGUAGAAUUCCAGGUGUGGCGGUUAAAUGCGUAGAGAUCUGGGGGAAUACCGGUGGCGAAGGCGGCCCCCUGGACGAAGACUGACGCUCAGGUGCGAAAGCGUGGGGAGCAAACAGG
rnacentral:rRNA from 1 species